UGGGGAAUCUUCCGCAAUGGGCGAAAGCCUGACGGAGCAAUACCGCGUGAGGGAGGAAUGCCUUUGGGUUGUAAACCUCUUUUCUCAGGGAAGAAGAUCUGACGGUACCUGAGGAAUAAGUAUCGGCUAACUCCGUGCCAGCAGCCGCGGUAAUACGGAGGAUGCAAGCGUUAUCCGGAAUCAUUGGGCGUAAAGCGUCCGCAGGUGGUUUCCAAAGUCUGCUGUUAAAGACUGGAGCUCAACUUCGGAACGGCGGUGGAAACUUGGAAACUAGAGUUCGGUAGGGGUAGCAGGAAUUCCCAGUGUAGCGGUGAAAUGCGUAGAUAUUGGGAAGAACAUCGGUGGCGAAGGCGUGCUACUGGACCGUAACUGACACUCAGGGACGAAAGCUAGGGGAGCGAAAGGGAUUAGAUACCCCUGUAGUCCUAGCUGUAAACGAUGGAAACUAGGUGUGGCUUGA
rnacentral:rRNA from 1 species